rnacentral:rRNA from 1 species
AAGGAAUAUUGGUCAAUGGGCGCAAGCCUGAACCAGCCAUGCCGCGUGCAGGAUGACUGCCCUACGGGUUGUAAACUGCUUUUGUACGGGAACAAACCUGGAUAUGUAUAUCCAGCUGAGCGUACCGUAAGAAUAAGGAUCGGCUAACUCCGUGCCAGCAGCCGCGGUAAUACGGAGGAUCCGAGCGUUAUCCGGAUUUAUUGGGUUUAAAGGGUGCGUAGGCGGCCAUUUAAGUCAGGGGUGAAAUACGGCAGCUCAACUGUCGCAGUGCCUUUGAUACUGAGUGGCUUGAAUACCGUUGAAGAUGGCGGAAUGAGACAAGUAGCGGUGAAAUGCAUAGAUAUGUCUCAGAACACCGAUUGCGAAGGCAGCUGUCUAAGCGGUCAUUGACGCUGAUGCACGAAAGCGUGGGGAUCAAAC